UCCCCUGGUGGUCUAGUGGUCAGGAUUCGGCGCUCUCACCGCUGCGGCCUGGGUUUGAUUCCCAGCCAGGGAA